rnacentral:rRNA from 1 species
GAAUAUUAGUCAAUGCUCGAAAGGAUGAACUAGCUAACUGAAAUCACAUGACUCAUUCUUAUAGGUGGUGAAUGUGAUAAGGUGUAGGGAAAAAAAUGAUAUUACCUCACUAAAAGUGUUGUCCAAAUCUGGUGCCAGAAGACUCGGUAAGACCAGAAACGCAAACGUUAGUCAUCUUAAUCAGGCGUAAAGGGUAUGUAGGCAGCUUUGAAAAUUUUAAUUUUAAUAAUUUUUGUUCUAAAAUGAUUAGCUCUAUUUAUUAAAUUAAAUAGUAAAAAUAAAAUCAAUUAAAGCUAGAAUCUAAUAGAGGAAAAACCAAAUAAUACUUAGAGUAGGGAUGAUAUCCAUAGAUACUAAGGGGAAUACUAAGGGCGAAAGCUUUUUUUCUAUUAAAGAUUGACGCUGAGAAACGAAGGUGAGAAUAGGAAAUAGGAUUAGAUACCCAGAUACCUCUCACUGUCAACGAUGAAUGGUGGUUGUUAGUUUUAAUAAAAACUGAUGGCGAUGUUAACACGAUAACCAUUCCGCCUUGCGAGUACGGUUGCAAAACUGAACCAAAAAAAUUAGUCGGUCUCGAAGCAAA